UUACGGCCACAUCAUGUUGAAAAACCGGUUCCCGUAUGAUCACCAAAGUUAAGGAACGUUCAGUACAUAGAUGGGUGACCACUUGGGAGUACCAGGUGCUGUAAG